UACCAAUUUAGCUCUGAGGAUACUUGGAUUGUCCCAUGUAUUUGUAAAACGGGGCAAAUUUGCGCCUUGCUGGGCCAAAGGAGGGAUUCUUUUUCAAAUCUUUGUACCAGAUCCUAGAAUAAACUUGUUUCUCGGCUCAGUUCCUUUUAGUUUUUCUAUGUAGGAGAAUUGAUCAACUUUAAAUCUAGUUCCCCUCUUCUUGGACAAACUGUUUUCUCUACACAUUACCCAUUUCCCUCUUUUCCAUACAGUUUCUCCGCUCUGUACUGACUGUGGUUUUCUCUUUAAAACAGUAAUUUUUAAAUCCUUCCCACCCUACUGUAAUAGGCGGUGUCACGUAUCACUUCUUAGCCUCAGCGUCCGGAGAUCCCGAAAGGGAGAAUUUCAAGUCAGAUAGAAUUUUACAUAUAUCAUUUCUUUGGAACCUUCAGCCUUCUGCAUCCCGACAUCAUGACCGCAGUUUCAACACAGUUGUUCUUAGUGGUCAUUUCACUACUUCUGAUUCUGCCUGUUGUUGAAGCAGUAGAAGCUGGAGAUGCAAUUGCUCUCUUGUUAGGUGUGGUUCUCAGCAUUACAGGCAUUUGUGCUUGCUUAGGGGUGUAUGCACGAAAGAGAAAUGGACAAAUAUGACUUUUAAGGGCCUCCUGAUGCAAACUCCACCCUGAAAACCUUUGUACUACUGAGACCCAACCUGAGCUUUGGUCUCUAAAGUUACCAAGAAAUAGUCAGUAGGGUUUUUCACAUUCUUGGUUGUUUCUGAUAGAAGGUAAACAAAUCAGUAUUUGUUAAGUGGGGAAAAAUGUUUUCUUUAUAACAAAUAAUGCACUGAAAAAUGCAGCCAAUAGUUUGUUACUUAGAAAGCAGGUCAAAGAUUUAACAUGGCUUUAAAAUGGAUAAGUAAUAUUUCAUAGUUUCAGAAUUACUAGAGCACAUGAAUUAGGACUAAAGAAGCUUUUGCCCAGAAUUUCCCAAAUCAUCAGUGUUUAGCUCCAAUCACUGCCUCCUGAAAUGUUGAGUCUUUUUCUUCAUGUUUUCAGAUUUUUAUUUUAUUUUGCAAGUUAAUAUUGUACUUAGACAUCAAACAGCCAAAAAUUGAAAUUUUUAUCUCUGGGGGAGAAAGUUUAGAAAAAGAAUAUAUUCAACUUAUCUAAUAUUGGAAUGAAGAAAAGAUUUAAUUUUUUUUUUACAAAACCCUUUAUAUUGACAAUAAAAUGGAAAAAUAAUUUACUGUAAUAAUACCUUUAAUAUUGAGUGAAAUCAAUAUUCACUGAGAAGUACAGUACUAUAUUAAAUAUAAAUCAUGUUGUAAGUG